rnacentral:rRNA from 1 species
UACGUAGGGUGCAAGCGUUGUCCGGAAUUAUUGGGCGUAAAGAGCUCGUAGGCGGUUUGUCGCGUCUGCUGUGAAAACUCGGGGCUUAACCCCGGGCCUGCAGUGGGUACGGGCAGACUAGAGUGCGGUAGGGGAGACUGGAAUUCCUGGUGUAGCGGUGAAAUGCGCAGAUAUCAGGAGGAACACCGGUGGCGAAGGCGGGUCUCUGGGCCGUAACUGACGCUGAGAAGCGAAAGCGUGGGGAGCGAACAGG